UACGGGGGGAGCAAGCGUUGUUCGGAUUUACUGGGCGUAAAGGGCGCGUAGGCGGCCUGUGCAAGUCAGUUGUGAAAUCUCCGGGCUUAACUCGGAACGGUCAACUGAUACUGCUCGGCUAGAGUGCGGAAGGGGCAACUGGAAUUGCAGGUGUAGCGGUGAAAUGCGUAGAUAUCUGCAGGAACACCCGUGGCGAAAGCGGCUCGCUGGACCGCAACUGACGCUGAGGAACGAAAGCUAGGGGAGCAAACAGG
rnacentral:rRNA from 1 species